AUAAAGUGCUCGGAAUUUCUCAAUCAUUUUUUCUCUUUUCUUGGGGGCGUGCGUGUGCGGGCGGCUGCCGUUGCAGCUUGCUUUCUUGUGUUUUGUGGAGAUGGGGAUUGUGUGGCCAGCGCCGAUGGUCACGAGUGCCAAUGCCACCAGGGCUCGGCAAAUAUGUUGGGUUUGCCCGCCUUGCCUUGCGUCCAAAAAUGCAAUUUGGGAGCAGAAUGCGAUGUUGGGUUUGGCCCGCCGGCCACACCACCCCCACCGUCAUCUGUGAAAUCUUCCGCCUCGCCUGGAAAUGAUGCACCGAGUUGUUCCUGGAAUUAUCGGGCGCUCUCAUGGAUGCUUCUUGCAGCUAUAGUCGUCUUGUGGAUUUAGCAUUAGCAAAUGCAAUGAAAUGCAUAUGGAAUUAGGCAUGCAAUAAUUUCAUAUAGGGGGAGUUUAUUAUGCUCCCCACUACCUAAUCUCUUGAACAUUUGAUAGUAUAUUGCUUUCUUUUCUUGAUAAUUAAG